UACGGAGGAUGCAAGCGUUAUCCGGAUUUAUUAGGUUUAAAGGGUGUGUAGGCGGAUUGAUAAGUCAGCGGUGAAAUCCUACAGCUUAACUGUAGAACUGCCAUUGAUACUGUCAGUCUUGAAUGCAAAUGAGGUAGGCGGAAUAUGUAAUGUAGCGGUGAAAUGCUUAGAUAUUACAUAGAACACCAAUUGCGAAGGCAGCUUACUAAAAUGUGAUUGACGCUGAGACACGAAAGCGUGGGGAG
rnacentral:rRNA from 1 species